rnacentral:pre_miRNA from 1 species
AUAAUACUCCCUCCUUCCGGAAUUACUUGUCAUCAAAAUGGAUGUGUCUAGAACUAAAAUACAUCUAGAUACAUCCAUUUCAAUGACAAGUAUUUUCGGACGGAGGGAGUAGUAG